rnacentral:rRNA from 1 species
AGUCGAACGCGCAGCGAAAGGUGCUUGCACCUUUCAAGCGAGUGGCGAACGGGUGAGUAACACGUGGAUAACCUGCCUCAAGGCUGGGGAUAACAUUUGGAAACAGAUGCUAAUACCGAAUAAAACUUAGUAUCGCAUGAUACAAAGUUGAAAGGCGCUACGGCGUCACCUAGAGAUGGGUCCGCGGUGCAUUAGUUAGUUGGUGGGGUAAAGGCCUACCAAGACAAUGAUGCAUAGCCGAGUUGAGAGACUGAUCGGCCACAUUGGGACUGAGACACGGCCCAUACUCCUACGGGAGGCAGCAGUAGGGAAUCUUCCACAAUGGGCGCAAGCCUGAUGGAGCAACACCGCGUGAGUGAAGAAGGGUUUCGGGUCGUAAAGCACUGUUGUAUGGGAAGAAAUGCUAGAAUAGGGAAUGAUUCUAGUUCGACGGUACCAUACCAGAAAGGGACGGCUAAAUAC